rnacentral:rRNA from 1 species
UUGACCUCGGAUCAGGUAGGAAUACCCGCUGAACUUAAGCAUAUCAAUAAGCGGAGGAAAAGAAACCAACAGGGAUUGCCCUAGUAACGGCGAGUGAAGCGGCAACAGCUCAAAUUUGAAAUCUGGCUCUCGGGCCCGAGUUGUAAUUUGUAGAGGAUGCUUUUGAUGCGGUGCCUUCCGAGUUCCCUGGAACGGGACGCCAUAGAGGGUGAGAGCCCCGUCUGGUUGGAUGCCAAAUCUCUGUAAAGCUCCUUCGACGAGUCGAGUAGUUUGGGAAUGCUGCUCUAAAUGGGAGGUAUAUGUCUUCUAAAGCUAAAUACCGGCCAGAGACCGAUAGCGCACAAGUAGAGUGAUCGAAAGAUGAAAAGCACUUUGAAAAGAGAGUUAAAAAGUACGUGAAAUUGUUGAAAGGGAAGCGUUUAUGACCAGACUUGGGCUUGGUUAAUCAUCUGGGGUUCUCCCCAGUGCACUUUUCCAGUCCAGGCCAGCAUCAGUUUUCGCCGGGGGAUAAAGGCUUCGGGAAUGUGGCUCCCUCCGGGGAGUGUUAUAGCCCGUUGCGUAAUACCCUGGCGGGGACUGAGGUUCGCGCAUCUGCAAGG